rnacentral:rRNA from 1 species
UACGUAGGGUGCGAGCGUUGUCCGGAAUUAUUGGGCGUAAAGGGCUCGUAGGCGGUUUGUCGCGUCGGGAGUGAAAACUCAGGGCUUAACCCUGAGCCUGCUUCCGAUACGGGCAGACUAGAGGUAUGCAGGGGAGAACGGAAUUCAUGGUGUAGCGGUGAAAUGCGUAGAUAUCAGGAGGAACACCGGUGGCGAAGGCGGAUCUCUGGGCCAUUACUGACGCUGAGGAGCGAAAGCGUGGGGAGCGAACAGG